rnacentral:rRNA from 1 species
GAUGAACGCUGGCGGCGUGCCUAAUACAUGCAAGUCGAGCGAACAGACGAGGAGCUUGCUCCUCUGACGUUAGCGGCGGACGGGUGAGUAACACGUGGAUAACCUACCUAUAAGACUGGGAUAACUUCGGGAAACCGGAGCUAAUACCGGAUAAUAUAUUGAACCGCAUGGUUCAAUAGUGAAAGACGGUUUUGCUGUCACUUAUAGAUGGAUCCGCGCUGCAUUAGCUAGUUGGUAAGGUAACGGCUUACAAAGGCAACGAUGCGUAGCCGACCUGAGAGGGUGAUCCGCCACACUGUAACUGAGACACGGUCCAGACUCCGACGGUAGGCAGCAGUAGGGAAUCUUCCGCAAUGGGCGAGAGCCUGACGUAGCACCGCCGCGUGAGUGCUGAAGGUCCUCUGACCGUAAAGUUCUGUUAUUAUGGAAGAACAAAUGUGUUAGUACCUAUGCACGUCUUGACGGUACCUAAUCAGAAAGCCACGGCUAACUACGUG